GAUGAACGCUGGCGGCGUGCCUAAUACAUGCAAGUCGAGCGAACAGACGAGGAUCUUGCUCCUCUGACGUUAGCGGCGGACGGGUGAGUAACACGUGGAUAACCUACCUAUAAGACUGGGAUAACUUCGGGAAACCGGAGCUAAUACCGGAUAAUAUAUUGAACCGCAUGGUUCAAUAGUGAAAGACGGUUUUGCUGUCACUUAUAGAUGGAUCCGCGCCGCAUUAGCUAGUUGGUAAGGUAACGGCUUACCAAGGCAACGAUGCGUAGCCGACCUGAGAGGGUGAUCGGCCACACUGGAACUGAGACACGGUCCAGACUCCUACGGGAGGCAGCAGUAGGGAGUCUUCCGCAAUGGGCGAAAGCCUGACGGAGCAACGCCGCGUGAGUGAUGACGGUCUUCGGAUCGUAAAACUCUGUUAUUAGGGAAGAACAAAUGUGUAAGUAGCUAUGCACGUCUUGACGGUACCUAAUCAGAAAGCCACGGCUAACUACGUG
rnacentral:rRNA from 1 species